rnacentral:rRNA from 1 species
GAUCAACGCUGGCGGCGUGCCUAAUACAUGCAAGUCGAGCGAACAGACGAGGAGCUUGCUCCUCUGACGUUAGCGGCGGACGGGUGAGUAACACGUGGAUAACCUACCUAUAAGACUGGGAUAACUUCGGGAAACCGGAGCUAAUACCGGAUAAUAUAUUGAACCGCAUGGUUCAAUAGUGAAAGACGGUUUUGCUGUCACUUAUAGAUGGAUCCGCGCCGCAUUAGCUAGUUGGUAAGGUAACGGCUUACCAAGGCAACGAUGCGUAGCCGACCUGAGAGGGUGAUCGGCCACACUGGAACUGAGACACGGUCCAGACUCCUACGGGAGGCAGCAGUAGGGAAUCUUCCGCAAUGGGCGAAAGCCUGACGGAGCAACGCCGCGUGAGUGAUGAAGGUCUUCGGAUCGUAAAACUCUGUUAUUAGGGAAGAACAAAUGUGUAAGUAACUAUGCACGUCUUGACGGUACCUAAUCAGAAAGCCACGGCUAACUACGUG